rnacentral:pre_miRNA from 3 species
CGCGCUAAUCAGUGACCGGGGCUGGUUUUUUAUAUACAGUCAGGUACCUGAAGUAGCGCGCG